UGCUUUAUUUUAAUCGCCUUAUCAUUUGUAUUGCGACGGAUGUAUUCCCCAUUUAUUCGUCCUUUUCCUCCACCGCCUCCGAAGUUCCCACCUUUACUUUUCCUUCAUCUUCCCCUGUUUCCACCGAUUCUUUCGCCACUUCCUCGAUCGGAUCGAUCAGGGUUCCCCUCUUUCUGAUCAUCUUCUCGGUUGUCGCUGCCCUUCGAACUUGAUUCCUAGGAAGCAUGGGGAAAAAUCUCUGACAGCCUCAUCCUGCCUCCGAUUCGAUUUCGCGUUCAACGAAGCUUACAUCCUGAUCGAUCCCCUGCAGAUUUAGUCCCUCCUGACUACUGAUUUUUUGUGCUUUUUUUGUUGGAAAAUUCGUCCCUUUUUGAGGGUUGAGAUCGAAUUUUAUUUGAUUUCUUAUGAAUCCGUCCUGAAAACCUCUUUUUUUCACCCAUCACGUCGAUUGGAGACUUCAGAUAUCCCUCUUUUAUCGAUCCUUGAAACUUAUUCUUAGUUCUUAAUCCUGUUCGGCUCCAAUAUCCUCGAUCUGCUUGUGUUCGCAUCUGUUCCAGUGCAUCAAAUGGCUCGAGAAAGUUGUAAUCUUGACAAAGACGAAGCCGAAAUCCUCAAACCUUCCUCCCCUUCCCCGUCGACCCCCGCUCCUCCAUCAUCGUCCCCGUUACCCCCGUCUCUGUUCUUGAAACCUUGCGAGCAAUCACCGAACCCGAGAGCGGAGACUACGGCUACGGAGACCGCCGUUGCGGCAUCUACCACGCCCAAGACCGACAAGGAGUCGAAGCCUGAGGAGGAAUCCAAACCGCAGGUAAAAUUCAUCAACGGGUGCUCUACUUGCGGGAGAAAGGUGGGGCUGACCGGAUUCCGGUGCCGAUGCGGGGAUCUCUUCUGCGGUCGGCACCGGUAUUCCGACACUCAUGAUUGCUCAUUCGAUUACAAGGCGUUGGGGAGGGAGGAGAUUGCUAAGGCUAAUCCUGUGGUCAAAGCUGCUAAGAUCAUCAAGAUCUAGGGUGUGUGUGAAGACCAGACUGGAAAUGAAAGCUAGUGGGCUUAUUACUUGCAGCAUCAUCCACCACAGUUGGCCUCAAGAAAUGCGUUUGUUCGGACUGCGCUCUUUAUGCAGUCUAAUUUGGAGGCUUGGGUGGAAGAAAACUGUUGUUUCAACGCUCUAUUCAAGAGGCUUUUGAUUAAAAGCAGUGUUCUCAUUGGCCAAGGGUAAGCCAAAGACAAAAUUGGUUGUCUUCCGAGUUCCUCACAUGGCGUUUGAAGCAGAUUGUGCUUGUGUUGGUUGAAGUCAAGGGACUUGACAAUGUCUUGCAACUUGCAAGUUCUUCUUGAUGAUAAAUCACGUUUUCUUUUGAUAA